rnacentral:rRNA from 1 species
UACGUAGGGUGCGAGCGUUAAUCGGAAUUACUGGGCGUAAAGCGUGCGCAGGCGGUUCGUUGUGUCGGCGGUGAAAGCCCCGGGCUCAACCUGGGAAUGGCCGUUGAAACUGGCGAACUGGAGUGUGGCAGAGGGGGGGUGGAAUUCCGCGUGUAGCAGUGAAAUGCGUAGAGAUGCGGAGGAACACCGAUGGCGAAGGCAGCCCCCCUGGGCUAACACUGACGCUCAGGCACGAAAGCGUGGGGAGCAAACAGG